AUUGAACGCUGGCGGAAUGCUUUACACAUGCAAGUCGGGCGGCAGCACGGGGGCAACCCUGGUGGCGGAGUGGCGAACGGGUGAGUAACACAUCGGAACGUACCCUGUCGUGGGGGAUAACGAAUCGAAAGAUUCGCUAAUACCGCAUACGACCCGAGGGUGAAAGCGGGGGAUCGCAAGACCUCGCGCGAUUGGAGCGGCCGAUGGCGGAUUAGCUAGUUGGUAGGGUAAAGGCCUACCAAGGCGACGAUCCGUAGCGGGUCUGAGAGGACGGCCCGCCACACUGGGACGUGAGACAGGCCCAGACUCCUACGGGAGGCAGCAGUGGGGAAUUUUGGACAAUGGGGGCAACCCUGAUCCAGCCAUUCCGCGUGAGUGAAGAAGGCCUCGGUGUAAG
rnacentral:rRNA from 1 species